AGCCUUGUAGCUCAGCCGGAUAGAGCGCCGGAUUGCUAAUCCGGAGGUCGGGGGUUCGAGUCCCCCCAAGGGUC
rnacentral:tRNA from 2 species